UCCAGAUAGUUCGGAUGAACUCAUGUGG
rnacentral:sRNA from 1 species